UUUUAGCCCUGAUCGAAAUGGCAUCCCCGCCGCGGCGGGAUAUAAUGGAGAGCAGGUAUAAUA
rnacentral:sRNA from 1 species